rnacentral:rRNA from 1 species
UAGGGAAUCUUCGGCAAUGGGGGGAACCCUGACCGAGCAACGCCGCGUGAGUGAAGAAGGUUUUCGGAUCGUAAAGCUCUGUUGUUAAGGAAGAACGAGUGUGAGAAUGGAAAGUUCAUGCUGUGACGGUACUUAACCAGAAAGGGACGGCUAACUACGUGCCAGCAGCCGCGGUAAUACGUAGGUCCCGAGCGUCGUCCGGAUUUAUUGGGCGUAAAGCGAGCGCAGGCGGUUAGAAAAGUCUGAAGUGAAAGGCAGUGGCUCAACCAUUGUAGGCUUUAGAAACUGUUUAACUUGGGUGCAGAAGGGGAGAGUGGAAUUCCAUGUGUAGCGGUGAAAUGCGUAGAUAUAUGGAGGAACACCGGUGGCGAAAGCGGCUCUCUGGUCUGUAACUGACGCUGAGGCUCGAAAGCGUGGGGAGCGAACAGG